rnacentral:rRNA from 1 species
GAUGAACGCUAGCGAUAGGCCUAACACAUGCAAGUCGAGGGGCAUCACAUGAAGUAGCAAUACGGAUGGUGGCGACCGGCGCACGGGUGAGUAACACGUAUGCAACCUGCCUUCAACAAGGGGAUAACCCGUUGAAAGACGGACUAAUACCCUAUAACACAGGGGUCCCGCAUGGGAAUAUUUGUUAAAGGACAACCGGUUGAAGAUGGGCAUGCGUUCCAUUAGCUAGUUGGCGGGGUAAGGCCCACCAAGGCAACGAUGGAUAGGGGAACUGAGAGGUUUAUCCCCCACACUGGUACUGAGACACGGACCAGACUCCUACGGGAGGCAGCAGUGAGGAAUAUUGGUCAAUGGACGCAAGUCUGAACCAGCCACGUCGCGUGAAGGAAGACGGCCCUACGGGUUGUAAACUUCUUUUGCAAGGGAAUAAAGUGGGCCACGUGUGGCCUUUUGCAAGUACCUUGCGAAUAAGGAUCGGCUAACUCCGUG